rnacentral:lncRNA from 1 species
CACUUUCUCAGUUUCCUUUACUUGCAUGGAAACCAAUCAAUGAGAAGUGAACAGAAGUUGGCUAAUUAAAAUUAAAUUUAAAAAAUAAUAUUAUUAUAAAAAGAGACAAAGUUUACCGAAGCAAACUUUCUCAGUUCUUCCAUCAUGCUUUCUUUAAAGUGAACAAUUUCUUUUUCUGCAUCCGCUGCUCUGUUAAGUGAUCACCACAUUCAUUGUUCUCGUUUCUAUUAUUUCUGAAAAAAAUCUUCAGGAUUCUGCUUGUGGGAGUGGAUGACAUUUUUACAGUGUUUACAGACACAAAAUGAACAAGAUGUCUGUGGCAACCCUCAGACCAUUGACGCCUUCUCUCCUAUGUAUCAAAUCACACAUUUGGACGUUGACUGAACCCUCACAUGUCAGAUGCUCAAUAUUGAGGUAUAGUAAAAGGGAGCAUGAACUUGAGAAAAUACGCUUUCAACACAAAGCUGUAAUAAUAUAAGGUCAAAUAAGAUUCUGCAUUGGAGAUAGAAAACUCUGAAGGAAGCUUUAUCUAUUCCAGAAUGUCAUAUAGCUGGUAUAAGAAAGAACACUAAUCAUUCCUAAGGAAGAAAAUUAACAACGCCGUGAGUUAUAAUAUCUGGCUGAAACUGAAGGAGCUCUGUGUAAUUAAAAGUCCUUUCUGCCCUGCCUGGCCAUGGUUCUGUAUGCAUUGAUGUCUUACAAACUGAAAAAAAAAAAAGUUAUUUUCUCAUCUCCAUUCCCUAGCAUAGACAUAUUACAUGAUGUGGAAUUGAAACAAGAAAAUUGCAUUUUAAUCUUCCACUCAGAACAUAGAAGAAUGAAACAAACAAACAAAAAAUACUCUGUUGUCUUAGUCUACCACAAGCAAAAUCUGGCAGUCUCUUUGCUUUGGUAAUGGCAUAAAUUCCUUGAUUAGCCUAUAGGAUAGCCCAUUGUUCUGCUCUUUUAGUGGAAUAGCUAGCAAUUGCUUUGUCAUUUUUUCCCCAUGGUUCCUACCAUUAGUGUUGGGAGGUUUCUUCUUUGUUUUUUUGAGAAAGAGGAAAAAGUUGUUAUAUUUUCAUAAAAACUUAAAUUUCAUCCAAAAUACUUGAUUUUCAUGAAGAAAGUAAAUAUCUCUGCCCCUAGUAUACAUGUGUGGAAACUUUCAGAACCCUGAAGAUAAAUACAUUUCAAACAAGUGAGUUUGAAAAUAUCAAUAGCAAAAUAGGAAGUAAGCUAAUUAGAGAGGUAAGAACUAGAUGGCUUAGCAUUCCAAUAAUAAUAUAUAACCUUCUUUAAGAGUAAAAUCUUGGUCAAAAGACAGAUGAAAACUCCAAUAAAAUUUCACAACUCAUGGAAAA